UACGUAGGGUGCGAGCGUUAAUCGGAAUUACUGGGCGUAAAGCGUGCGCAGGCGGUUUUGUAAGCCAGAUGUGAAAUCCCCGGGCUCAACCUGGGAAUGGCAUUUGGGACUGCAAGGCUGGAGUUUGGCAGAGGAGACUGGAAUUCCCGGUGUAGCAGUGAAAUGCGUAGAUAUCGGGAGGAAUACCGAUGGCGAAGGCAGGUCUCUGGGCUAGUAACUGACGCUCAUGCACGAAAGCGUGGGGAGCAAACAGG
rnacentral:rRNA from 1 species